UGGGGAAUUUUGGACAAUGGGGGCAACCCUGAUCCAGCAAUGCCGCGUGUGUGAAGAAGGCCUUCGGGUUGUAAAGCACUUUUGUCCGGGAAGAAAUCGCACCUGAUAAUACCGGGUGUGGAUGACGGUACCGGAAGAAUAAGGACCGGCUAACUACGUGCCAGCAGCCGAGGUAAUACGUAGGGUCCAAGCGUUAAUCGGAAUUACUGGGCGUAAAGCGUGCGCAGGCGGUUGUGCAAGACCGAUGUGAAAUCCCCGGGCUUAACCUGGGAAUUGCAUUGGUGACUGCACGGCUAGAGUGUGUCAGAGGGGGGUAGAAUUCCACGUGUAGCAGUGAAAUGCGUAGAGAUGUGGAGGAAUACCGAUGGCGAAGGCAGCCCCCUGGGAUAACACUGACGCUCAUGCACGAAAGCGUGGGGAGCAAACAGG
rnacentral:rRNA from 1 species